rnacentral:misc_RNA from 1 species
GGCUUGUGAAGGUGCAAUGAUAGCCGUGAUAUCAGAAUUCAUAUGUCUGUGCAAUAAGUUUUUACUGGGGGGUUGUUCAAUUCAGUUAGAUUCAGAUUUUAUAAAACAUCGAAUUUCUCUCUUGUUUGCUUAUUUGCCAUUGGCUAGUUUACAUAAUUUCCCUGAUCAACUUGUACCGUUAUUUAGGUCCAAUCAGAAUAGAAAAGACUAAAUAUCUGCAUUUCCUAUCUUCAUUUUUUGUAAUUCUGGAUGCCAUAUUGCUCGAACAUAUUAUUUUGUUGGCAGAUACUUGGGCCUGGUAGUGGUUGG